CAGUUUCCAACACCAUUCCCCACGUUAGGUUGCACUCCCAAAUGCAUCCUGUAAUGGGAUGCAUUGGUAGGACUGGAAAAUUAUUCCCCUUGAUGUGGCGUGUAUACAUAAAUGUGCGAGCACGCGGGUGCAUGUGCACAUACAUUUGUGUACAUAAACCGUACUUGCACAAGGUGAGUGUAACCAGACUGUGAUUAGUACCCACGGAUACGCCAAGCAGUGCUGCCUUUUAGAGUGCCACAGAAGCAUUCGUCUUUGUCCCCUGGAAUUAGCUUAGUCCAUGUGGUAACACAAGCCUCCUGUGUUAAGGAAUAAACAUUUAUAUUUUUAGAUGACUGGCCUUUGAAGGUUCAUUAUCUACAUGCAACAAUUUUCUAACCAGAAAAUCUUUUCAGAGUUAUAAAAAAGCAUAUUCAUACAGGCCUGUAAAUGACUGGCCCAGAAUUCACUUAACAGCAACCACCAAUCUUACUUUGGCGGAGAUAAGAGGACCUGGUAACAAGUUCUAUUACACUCAAGAGAAAACUGAAUAUAAAGCUCCUGUCUUAGCAAUUUAAGUGAAAGUGUUGCCCUUCUGCAUGGCUGAAAGCUUCACACUGUGCUGAGAAUAAACUUGCAGACAGCAAUGACAGCUGUGGGAAUGAUGCCACAUAUUAAAAUGUUUAAAGUUUCCUCGUGGAUGACAACAGGAGAAGUCAUCCAGCAGAGCAUCGCUCUGCUCAGGUACAGGUCAGCUGAGACGAGGAGGAACAUUCUGGGAACAAAGACAUGGAAAUCGGGAAUCCAGUUCCCCGAUCUCGGUGCUCCGUGCUGUCACAGCCACACGAAGAGCGAGCAGAACGAGAUUCGCAAGGAAUAACCUCCGGAUGGGGGACUUUCCCAGUUGUCAUCAAGCCAAGGGAGCAACUCCGCGAUGUUUCUCCCUGAGCCCUUGUUACCAGGGCAAAAAGAGACCAUUCUGCUGCAACCAGAGAAGAAAAAACCCUCCCGGCCUUCAUGUGCCUGCUCCAACCUCCCUGCACGAGCCCUGGCUUAUUGAAUAGGUUGCAACAAGCCAGAGAAACCCAGUCUAGGUUUUUCUCAGCACCACCAGGUCCUCUGUAAAACAGGCAGGUUUUGAAGUUUGGCUUGUUGUUCCUCAA
rnacentral:lncRNA from 1 species